GCCGAGACAACUAGGGUCUGAAGCAGAACCCCAGCAAACUGCAGAAGCCCUAUAGUAAAGUGGACUGACUGUUAAAAGAAAACAAACAAACAAACAAAAAUUUACAGGAACAACAUCAACAUAAAAGACCCCCCAUAAACCCGUUAAAGAUCAACAACCUCAAAGGUUGAAGGUAGAUAAACCCACAAAGAUGAUAAAGAAUAAACAUAAAAAUGCUGCAACUCCAAAAGCCAGAGUGUCUCCUUUUCUCCAAAUGACUGCAAUACCUCUCCAGCAAGGGCACAUAAUUGGUCUGAGGCUGAGAUGGCUGAAUUGACAGAAGUAGGCUUCAGAAGGUGGGUAAUAACAAACUUUGCUCAGCUAAAGGGACAUGUUGUAACCCAAUGAAAAGAAGCUAAGAAUCAUAAUAAAACAAUACAGGAGCUGACAGCCAAAAUAGCCAGUUUAAAGAUGAACAUAACUGACUUAAUGGAGCUGAAAAACGCAUGACAGUUUCACGAUGAAAUCACAGGUAUUAAUAGCAGAAUAGACCAACAAGAAGAAGGAAUAUUAGAGCCGGAAGACUAUUUUUUUCUGAAAUAAGAUAGAUAGACAAGAAUAUAGUUUUAAAAAGAAUAAAAAGGAAGGAACAAAACCUCAAAAAAAUGUAUAAUUAUGUAAAGAGACCAAACCUAUGAGUAAUUGAGGUACCUCAAAGAGAUGGAAAGAACAAAACCAAGUUGGAAAACAUACUUUAUGCUGUCAUCCAGGAGAACUUCCCCAACCUAACAAGGCAGGCCGACAUUCAAAUUCUGGAAAUUCAGAGAACUACAGCAACAUAUUAUACAAGAAGACCAACCCUAAGACACAUAAUGAUCAGAUUCUUCAAAAUAAAAAUGAAAGAAAAAGUAUUAAGGGCAGGCAGAGAGAAAGAUCAGGUCACUUACAAAAGGAAAUCCAUCAGACUACUAGCGGGACUUCUUUUUAUUUAUUUAUUUAUUUAUUUAUUUAUUUAUUUAUUUAUUUAUUAUUAUUAUACUGUAAGUUGUAGGGUACAUGUGCAUAACGUGCAGGUUUAUUUUUUGUUUAUGUACAGAGAGGUGUUUAUAGUAUUCUCUCAUGGUAGUUUGUAUAUCUGUGGGAUCAGUGGUGAUAUCCCCUUUCUCAUUUUUUAUUGUGUCUAUUUGAUUCUUCUCUCUUUUCUUCUUUAUUAGUCUUGCAAGCCAUCUAUCAAUUUUGUUGGUCUUUUCAAAAAACCAACUCCUGAAUUCACUGAUUUUUUGAAGGUUUCUUGUGCCUCUAUCGCCUUUAGUUCUGCUCUGAUCUUAGUUAUUUCUUUUGUUCUCUAGCUUAUGAAUGUGUUUGCUCUUGCUUCUCUAGUUCUUUUAAUUGUGAUGUUAGGGUAUCAAUUUUGGAUCUUUCCUGCUUUCUCUUGUGGGCACUUAGUGCUAUAAAUUUCCCUCUUCACAAGGCUUUAAAUGUAUCCCAAAGAUUCUGUUAUGUUCUGUCUUUUUUCUCAUUGGUUUAAGAACGUCUUUAUUUCUGCCUUCAUUUCGUUAUGUACCCAGCAGAUUCAGGAGCAGGUUGUUCAGUUUCCAUGUAGCCGAGUGGUUUUGAGUGAAUUUCUUAAUCUUGAGUUCUAAUUUGUUUGCAAUGUGGUCUGAGAGACAGUUUGUUACAGUUUCUGUAUUUUUACAUUUGCUGAGGAGUUCUUUACUUCCAACUAUGUGGUCAAUUUUAGAAUAAGUGCGAUGUGGUGCUGAGAAGAAUGUAUAUUCUGUUGAUUUGUAGUGGAGGGUUCUGUAGAUGUCUAUUAGGUCUGCUUAGUGCAGAGUUGAAUUCAAGUCCUGGAUGUCCUUUUUAACUUUCUUGUCGAUCUGUCUAAUGUUGACAGUGCAGUGUUAAAGUGUCCCAUUAUUAUUGUGUGGGAGUCUAAGUCUUUUUGUAGGUCUCUAAGGACUUGCUUUAUGAAUCUGGGUGCUCCUGUAUUGGGUGCAUAUAUAUAUUUAGAAUCGUUAGCUCUUGUUGAAUUGAUCCCUUUACCAUUAUGUAAUGUCUUCUUUGUCUCUUCUGAUCUUUGUUGGUUGAAAGCCUGUUUUAUCAGAGAAUAGGAUUGCAACCCUUGCUUUUUGUUGUAUUCCAUUUGCUUGAUAGAUCUUCCUC
ensembl:lncRNA